GUGACUAAAACAAGGUGAGGCACAUAUACUGAAAUUGGAACAAUCCAGAGAUUAGCACAGCCCCUCAGCAUGGAUGACAUGCAAAUUCGCGAAGCGUUCCGUAUUUUA
ensembl:snRNA U6 U6 spliceosomal RNA